rnacentral:rRNA from 1 species
AGGAUGAACGCUAGCGGCAGGCUUAAUACAUGCAAGUCGUGGGGCAGCAUAGGGUAGCAAUACUCUGAUGGCGACCGGCAAACGGGUGCGGAACACGUACGCAACCUUCCUUUAACUGGAGAAUAGCCCCUCGAAAGAGGGAUUAAUACUCCGUAAUAUCCCGAUGUGGCAUCACAAUGGGAUUAUAGCUCCGGCGGUUAGAGAUGGGCGUGCGCCUGAUUAGGUAGUUGGCGGGGUAAUGGCCCACCAAGCCUGCGAUCAGUAACUGGUGUGAGAGCACGACCAGUCACACGGGCACUGAGACACGGGCCCGACUCCUACGGGAGGCAGCAGUGAGGAAUUUUCGUCAAUGGGGGCAACCCUGAACGAGCAACGCCGCGUGCAGGAGAAGGUUUCGGAUCGUAAACUGCUUUUCUCGGGAAGAGAACGGACGGUACCCGAGGAAUCAGCCCCGGCUAACUACGUGCCAGCAGCCGC